CAGUAUAUAUUUUAUUUAAAAUAUAAAUUUUGGGUAUUUAAGAUACGUUAAUAAUACGUUUUACUGA
rnacentral:tRNA from 1 species